UGCGUUCUUGAUCUAGUCUGCCUCAGC
rnacentral:piRNA from 1 species